AUGCAUACGAGAUAUUGGUGCGGUUCAAUUAGAAAGUCGAGUUCUUUUUGUUUAGAACUUUGUUAUUUGAUUGAGCCGCGCCAAUAUCACGUAUAUUAGU
rfam:Nicotiana attenuata strain TT chromosome 2, whole genome shotgun sequence.